ACCGUUCUCGUCCCGCUUUCUUUCAUCAGCUCCCGUUCCUUUCAUCCAUCAUCCCACCCCCGGCGAUUCCGCGCAAAAUUGAUGUGAAUUGCCAAAACUACCGCGUAAGGAAAUUGCUACUCCCGUCACUCAUGUUCUGGCUGGGCGAGGUCGCACAUCUGGGCAUCUCCAUACUCCAAAUCCCCCCUGAAGUCCUGAUGGCACCACCCCCAAUUCCAGGCCUAACUCUAGGCGGGACUGCGGCGGAUUGCGCCCCCGCUCCGGUGGUCCUUCCCAGGUAGGCCGGCACGCAUCUCGCCUCUCGAUCUCCUCUCCCAUCUUUGUUAUGGCGUUCCUGCUCGGAGGUGCACGCCGCCACGUGUAGUCGAGCGGGCAAGAUCAGCACUCUGUAGGCUAGGGCCAACCAGGAGGAGGAUCUAGCGACCAGACCACCACCAUCAGCGCAAGAUGUCCGGGAAGGAUGAUUCUGUACCAAACUUUGCCCCGUUGUUUUUGGUAAUGAGGCCGUUGUGAUUGAUGAUGAGGAGGAUAUGCCUCUGGUCCCUCCAUAGUUGAUAAUUGGUGGGAAGCAAAUUUGGUGCACAUGAGCACCAGUUUUUCAAAAUAUUUAAAAACUGUAUUUCUGCGAUCCAAAAAAUCAUCACAUUUAUUCCAAAAAUACAUACACAUGUUCUGAAUAUUUAUGAAAAAUUUCGGUAGAAAUUACAUUAUAUUUUGAGCUACAGGAAAAAAACAAAUUUGUGGCUACGUAUAGAUGUAUAUAUUUGUCAGAAAUUUGUCUUUUUUGUAUAGCUUAAAAUAUAACAUAUUUUUCUCUAAAAUUUCUACCGUACCUUCAAAAUGUAUAUAUGUGUGUGGGUAUUUAAUUUCAUAUUUUUUGAAAUCCAAAAAUAUGAUUUUUAAAAAUCAGGAGCACUGGUGCUCAUGUGCCAAAUACACUUUUCGUAGUUGGUGCCUCUUCAUUGGUGCUUGUUGUAACACUUCAAGUGCUAUAGUGCAGUUAAUUUUGCAGACCAGACCUUUGUAUUAUAGUGUUGUUGUAGUUCUGUUUUUUACCGCUUUGGAUUUAUGUUUAUUCCUUAUAUGCUUGCCGUUGGUACCUACUGGGGUGGCUGCAGCACUGCCUUCUUCAGUGCAUUCAGCCUAGACUGGCUGUUCUGUCCUGUUUAGUGUGUACUACACAACUUGUGCUUUUGUUGCUUCACGGGUGUAUUGCAUGUGCAUCUGGUAGGAUGGUAGCCUUCUAUACAUAGUGUGGUGCACUGGUGUACAUGCAUUGUAAUGAUAUUUAUGCAGCUACCCGCAAUAAAAUUAAGUAACCUCCCAACCAAGUUGGAUUGGAGUACAAUGUCUUAUAUUUGGUAGAAUGAAAAAAUCCGAUUCGUGAAUUCGAAUUGUUACUGGUCUUGAUUUCUUCUUCUUUCUACAAUGUAAGCUCUUCCAGUGUCACAACUCAUGGAACAAGCCAUAAAGCGACUCUUUGAAGAUAUGCAGUGAUGUUUACCUCCAUCUUACAAGACUCAAAGACAACAGUAAAUGGUAACUUUUGUGUGAUUUAUCAUUUAGAUUCGCCCAUUUAAAUUGACCUUUUAAGUUGAUCUAUCAUUUGGAUUGCCUAUAAAUAUUAGCACCAUUAUUUUUCUCAUUAUGCUUCUUUAGAAUCUGCUGCAAGGGCCUGAUUCUUAAGAUCUUCUUUAAUUUAAAUUCUCACAGGUGUCUCUUCACUCUAUUUCCAAGAAUGCUUGGAAAUAUAAUCUCCAUUGUUGUGCUACGUAAAUGUUGGAAUGUGUGUAUGAUUAAUUCAUCUGUGAGCUCUUAUAUUUUAUUAAGCUUGAUCUACACAUGAUACCAGUAUCUCCGCUCAUCACAUUUCUUACAGCCCUGAUAUUCUUGUAAAAGGUCUCUUUGAUGCAGAACAAUAGAUCCAUAUAUUUAUUUUGUUUGAUACACUUUUUUUUAAUAUAGAUGUUAUUCACCGUGCUCACCAAGCUCUGGGUACCAACUGCUCUGGCAUUCAUUUGGUUCCUAUAUAUGUUCAGUUAUACCAUAUCUAUUAGGAGAGCUGUCGACAACUUUAUGCUGGGAGCAUGUAAUGAUGGUUGUUUUAGUUUGUUCACUCACAGUUGACUCUCUACUGAUCUCUGAUUAAUUUAUUCUGUUUGAAGCACGAUGCACAAAAUUAUGCUUGGUGUCUUAGAAAAUAGCAUCGGAGUAUAUUAGCAACUAUGAUGACAUAGCACAAUGCUCACUCUCUCGGUGUCUUAUUUUCUUCGUUUCUUGACUAAUCAACUUUGUGCAAAACUACCAACAAACUAUUUCUCCUAAAGCUGCGGCUUAAUUAAGAUACUAAAUGAUCAUAUAAGUGUAAGUGCACUGUAUAUGUUGUUAGUUUCUUAUUGCGCACAUGGUUACAUCCCUUUAACCAUUUUUUGCGUUUGAUGAAUUGCUAACUAGCGGAUGUGUAUAUCAGAGCGAUCAUGUUUGAGGACCUCUCCCUUCUCACACAGAUGGUUAGUAUGAAGUAAAGGAGCAACUCAAGGAGAUUAUGCCUACAAAGCUGAUAGGUCGCCUUACAGAAUUAAGUUGUGAGUCAUGUCUGAAAUACUCCCUCCUGUCGGAUUAGAUUGACGCAGGCUCGGGCAUCAAGUACACAAAUGUUGGUACUGUUUCGUGUCGAUUAAUUUCGACCGGAGGUAGUAUUUCAUUUUUUCAUGGUUUUAUUGUUGUAUGACCAUGCAUGUUUCUUGUGCUAAGUAUCCCUUCGAGGUUUUAUUGUUGUAAAACACCUUACUAUAUACCUCACAUGCAAAAAUAAGCACAAUUUUCUUAUCCAGAAGCAAUAGACCUCAUGAUUAUAUUAUUAUGAUGGUCAAAUAUCCCUUCGAGGUUCAGAUGUAUGCCUUGCUUAAUCUGAUAUUUUUCUUGUUAUUCAUUCACACAGAACUUUGUAUGGAUAUUUUGACUUAUUUGUA